CAGCAGCCGCCACGGUAAUACGAAGGGUGCAAGCGUUAAUCGGAAUUACUGGGCGUAAAGCGUGCGUAGGCGGUGAGUUAAGUCUGCUGUGAAAUCCCCGGGCUCAACCUGGGAAUGGCAGUGGAUACUGGCUCGCUAGAGUGUGUCAGAGGAUGGGAGAGGUGAGUGGAAUUUCCGGUGUAGCGGUGAAAUGCGUAGAUAUCGGAAGGAACACCUGUGGCGAAAGCGGCUCACUGGACCAUUACUGACGCUGAGGCGCGAAAGCUAGGGGAGCAAACAGGAUUAGAGACCCCUGUAGUCCCUG
rnacentral:rRNA from 1 species